GACGGACGCUGGCGGCGUGCUUAACACAUGCAAGUCGAACGCUGAAGCUCAGCUUUUGUUGGGUGGAUGAGUGGCGAACGGGUGAGUAACACGUGAGUAACCUGCCUCCUUCUUUGGGAUAACGCCCGGAAACGGGUGCUAAUACUGGAUAUUCACUGGUCUUCGCAUGGGGGUUGGUGGAAAGGGUUUUUCUGGUGGGGGAUGGGCUCGCGGCCUAUCAGCUUGUUGGUGGGGUGAUGGCCUACCAAGGCUUUGACGGGUAGCCGGCCUGAGAGGGUGACCGGUCACAUUGGGACUGAGAUACGGCCCAGACUCCUACGGGAGGCAGCAGUGGGGAAUAUUGCACAAUGGGCGCAAGCCUGAUGCAACGACGCCGCGUGAGGGAUGGAGGCCUUCGGGUUGUGAACCUCUUUCGCUCAUGGUCAAGCCGCAACAAUGGUUGUGGUGAGGGUAGUGGGUAAAGAAGCGCCGGCUAACUACGUG
rnacentral:rRNA from 1 species